AACCAGGGCUACAGACAAUCUCUUACGGUUACAUAAUGUAAAAAUCUCAAGUGCAGGAAGUCACCAUAAAUGACUUCCACUUAGCAAAGGUAAAUGUUUCCUUCUCAGGGGCCCUGGCCUCUGCUUAGGUGGGCACCUGAUUUACAAAACUGUCCUAUAAAAUUGAAGGGGACACUUGGGAUUUAUACCUAUUAAAAAGGUUUAGUUUCAACAAAAAAAGGAAAAAAAGAAAGAAAAAAGGUUUAGUUUCAUGUAGCAUCUUGCUCACAAUGUAUUUUUCAGGCCUUUGCUCGUGGUGCUGUGGAUCGAACCCCAGGCUUCACACAUGCUUGGCAAAUAAUCUGCCGCUGAGCCCCAGCCCCAGCCCCAGCCUUUGCUUUUAAUACUCAUAAAGAUAACCUCUGUGUGACAGUCCUGUCCUGUGGAUCAUCUGCAUUGGGACUGUCCACAGUCUACCUGCAGUGUUUCUUGCUUUGACUACAAAACUGCCCCUGCCAUAUUCCCUCCUUGGUUUUACUUUUGAGAGGAUGGUCUUUCUUCCUGUAAUUUAUUUUUGAAUCCAACACAGGGCUUAGCAGUUUCUGAGACAUAACAUUCAAAUAAGGUUUAUUUUCAGAAUGU
rnacentral:lncRNA from 1 species